rnacentral:rRNA from 1 species
CAGUCGCCACGGUAAUACGUAGGUGGCAAGCGUUGUCCGGAAUUAUUGGGCGUAAAGCGCGCGCAGGCGGAUCGGUCAGUCUGUCUUAAAAGUUCGGGGCUUAACCCCGUGAUGGGAUGGAAACUGCCAAUCUAGAGUAUCGGAGAGGAAAGUGGAAUUCCUAGUGUAGCGGUGAAAUGCGUAGAUAUUAGGAAGAACACCAGUGGCGAAGGCGACUUUCUGGACGAAAACUGACGCUGAGGCGCGAAAGCCAGGGGAGCGAACGGGAUUAGAUACCCCAGUAGUCCCUGUCUCUUAUACA